rnacentral:rRNA from 1 species
AUCGGUAGCUGGCUCUCUGCUGCUCUAACAUGGUCGCCCAUUGAAGCUAAGCAGGGCUGAGCUCAGUCAGUGUCUGGAUGGGAGAGCACAUGGGAAAGCUAGGUUGCUGCCGGAA